AUGCAGGAGGAGAAGGAGGCCUAUGGUGAGCUGAAGAGGACCUUACAGACACGUAUCACGGAGCAGGAGGAUAAAUUAUCUACGCGCCUGAAACGUUUGAAGAGUCUGGAGCGAAAACUGCAGGAUAAACAGCACGAAGUCCGUGAAAUGGAGACACGCAUUGAGAGGAUGCGGGAGGAACGGAUCGCCUUGACAGCAAGGAAAAACUUAAUUGAGCACAAAACCAUGUGUAAGCUGUCAAAGGUGCACAAGCCACGUCUUGAAGCAGAGAGCUUGAGGAGUCACAAAGUGGAGAUCUGCACCUUAGGAGAAAAGAUCUGCCAUCUGGACGACGUGAUCCUCAGUCAGAGCAACAAAAUCCGCUGUUACCUGCAGCAGAUCAAGGAGCUGAAUGUAGAUCUCUCGGCCCAGGAGAGCGCAGUGGAGUCUCUCACAGAGAAGCUGCACGCUGCUCAGGCCCAGAAUGAAGAGCUGAAGUACCUGCUGGAAUUCUGGAGCAGUCAGACUCCCGAGGAGCCAGCUGGCACCGCCGCGAAGCGGGACUACGGAUGUCGGCAAGAAGUGCACUUUUAGCUCCCGGCGUUUUAUUAUAUUCCUCGGGGGUUGCGGUUUAAGCUCUUCGAGAUUGAAGGUAUACUUAAAAAGCACUCGAUUUUCACGAGAACCGGGUCGCGCGGCGGCAGUCGGCCCAGGGAAGACCGUAACUGUGGACUCGGUAAUAGAAAUGCAGUUAGAACAGCCUCCAACAAAUGGACUCCAGAAAGACGUGCUACUGAACGGAAGACGUCCGGCACACAGUCGUGACAAAACUCCUUAGAUAUACUGUACCUCGCACAGUGCGUUCAACAGAGCGUGGGUGGCCAACGGCAGCAAAGACCACAUCGACCCUAACGACUGCAGUAUUUAAUUAAAAUACCCAACAAGCAAUGUGUGUUAACCCCUAGAAGAGGAACAUCCUGGAGCAUGGUAAUAUACAUCACAAAGCAGACAGAGUGCAAACUGCGGUGCAGUAUCUAAAGACACCCAAACACACAAUGCCAUGUUUUGUCCGCCGCUAUAACGUUUUACAUUUUCUUUGCUCUAGCGAAGUCUCGCCAGUUACCACGGCAUGUUAAAAAAUGCCAUUGUUCUGCUUAAGACAGACAGUGAUUCUCAGAAUGGCUGUUUCGCAAAUAAUCAUAUAAUAUCCAGUGAGCUGUUGAGCAAUUUAUAUACUCUUGAUGUAAAAAUAGUUAAAAGAGGCUUCGAACCUAUGACCGAACAACCCAAGGGUUGUGCGAUAGCAGCGCUACCUGCUGCAGCGCUAUGCUGCCUCCAAAAAUAAUCAUGUUCAUCUUGUGAUGUUUCUGGCACUUUCUUUCAUUGCAGUAACAGUACCGUGCUAAAAGCAUGUAUGUUCAGCACACACUUUUCCCUGAGCCAACUUAGAAUUAUUUAUCCAUUUUUACAGCGGGGUAGUUUUACUGGAGUAAUUUAGGGUAAGCAGCCUUACUCAGGGGUACAACUGGGAGAUGAGAUUUGAACAUGUGACCUUCGGGUCCAAAAGCAACAGCUGUAACCCCUGCACUACGAGCUCCCUUUGUUCACAUACAGUCCACUCACUAUAUACUCAUUAAAUUAAGGAUACUAUUUCAGACUGUUUUAGGAGUAAGAAGUGAACGCAGUCCACUUUUCCAAUUAACUAAAUUCACACCCAAAACCACAAGCUGUGAGGCACCAAUGCUGCACCACAGUGCCAUCCCCUAGUAUACAGUGUUAAAUGUAAUUAUUAUAGUCAUUCAUACAUUUGAGAAAUAACCAGAAAAAUAUAAGAAUGCAUUUAAGCACAAGAUUAUCUAAACACACCAUUUAAAUUGACAGAGCCUUCAUUUUUCAACCAUUUGAAACUCAUUGUUUAGGUAACCAGACAGCUGGUAGCUUAGUAGUUAGAGCUGCUGCCUUUGGACUCAAAGGUUACUGGGUAAAAUUUCAUCUCUGGUUGUAAUACCCUUGAGCAAGGUGCUUACCUUAAAUUACUCAGAUGUAUAAAGGGGUAAAUAAUCCUGAAUUGCUUUGGUGAGAAGCAUCAUAUAUGAUAAAUGUGAUGAUCAAUGUAGAUAACUUGAUGCAAGGCAUAAGCAACUUCACUUUUUUGUUUCCCUGUAUCAUGUACUUUAUUUUUAAAUCAUCUCCAGUAAAAUACAGUUACUAUAUUGUCUCUGUCUAUUAGCAAUUAGUAAUUCUCUUAAUGGGAGAUGUUGUGUCCUGUUAUAUAUACAGUCGUAUCCGCUGUUGACACUGAUUUAUUGGAUGUGUGUGGUGUGGAGGCCAAUAAAAACUUGAGUCCACAGUGAGAAUUUACA
rnacentral:lncRNA from 1 species